rnacentral:rRNA from 1 species
CGGAGGGAUCAUUACCGAGUUUACAACUCCCAAACCCAAUGUGAACCAUACAAACUGUUGCCUCGGCGGGGUCACGCCCCGGGUGCGUCGCAGCCCCGGAACCAGGCGCCCGCCGGAGGGACCAACCAAACUCUUUCUGUAGUCCCCUCGCGGACGUUAUUUCUUACAGCUCUGAGCAAAAAUUCAAAAUGAAUCAAAACUUUCAACAACGGAUCUCUUGGUUCUGGCAUCGAUGAAGAACGCAGCGAAAUGCGAUAAGUAAUGUGAAUUGCAGAAUUCAGUGAAUCAUCGAAUCUUUGAACGCACAUUGCGCCCGCCAGUAUUCUGGCGGGCAUGCCUGUCCGAGCGUCAUUUCAACCCUCGAACCCCUCCGGGGGUCCGGCGUUGGGGAUCGGGAACCCCUAAGACGGGAUCCCGGCCCCGAAAUACAGUGGCGGUCUCGCCGCAGCCUCUCAUGCGCAGUAGUUUGCACAACUCGCACCGGGAGCGCGGCGCGUCCACGUCCGUAAAACACCCAACUUCUGAAAUGUUGACCUCGGAUCAGGUAGGAAUACCCGCUGAACUUAAGCAUAUCAAUAAGCGGAGGAA